UCGCAUCGAUGAAGAACGUAGCGAAAUGCGAUACUUGGUGUGAAUUGCAGAAUCCCUCGAAUCAUCGAGUCUUUGAACGCAAGUUGCGCCCCAUGCCAUUCCGCCGAGGGCACCUCUGCCUGGGUGUCAAGCAUCGUUGCCC
rnacentral:rRNA from 1 species